rnacentral:lncRNA from 1 species
GCGCUCUGCAGUGACAGGGAAGAUCCAGUCCAGUGAGGAGAGUAGAUGGAGAUAUAUUUUAAAAGCCAACUAUUGUCAGGCUCAUUUUUAUCAAUCUGGUAGGAGUGAAGUGAUAUCUAGUAAGCAAAUGGGGAUCUCAGGCCUGUACCCACAAGGAAACAAAUUCUGCCACAACCAUGUCAGCUUGAAAGAGGACCAUGAGCUCCAGAAUGAAACGCAGCCUGCCUAACACCAUGACUGUACCUCGUGAGACUCUGAGCAGAGGACCCAGGAAAGCCAUGCCUGCAUCCUGACCCCCCAGAAAUGGAGAUAAUAAAUGUAUAUUGUUUUAAGCCACUAAAUUUGUGUUAAUUAGUUGUGUAGCAACAGAUAACUAAUACAAUAUUGGAUCCAUG